GGAACUCGCGGAGGGGCUGCUGGGGGGCUUCCAGGAGCGCGCAUGUGCGGUCGGCUGGCUGCAGGCGGCCGGGCGGGCUGUAACCCGCCGCUGGACUGGCGCUUUUGUGUCCGGAGGCUUCGGCCUGGCCGCCGUCGCCUAUAAGCUACGAGGAGAAGCUUUACGACUUGGCCGGGCGCAGCAAAGGCCAGACUUUGCGCGAACAGGCGCUACGCGCCAACCGGCCGGCACCUGGCGGGCACCAUCGCACGGUGGCGCAGAAGCUCCUCAAUGGCCAGCGCCAGCCGCAGCAGCGGCCGCGCACUCGCCUCGCCUGAGCUUGGGCGAAUGUGCAUUGGGAAAGUCGACAUUAAUCAACUCAUUAUUCCUCAUAGAUUUGUAUUCUGCAGAGUAUCCAGGUCCUUCUCACAGAAUUAAAAAGACUGUACAGCUGGCAGCCUGUUAUCGAUUACAUUGAUAGUAAAUUUGAGGACUACCCAAAUGCAGAAUGAUGCACGAACAGACAUCAGAUGCCUGAUAACAGGGUGCAGUGUUGUUUAUCCUUCAUUGCUUCUUCAGGACAUCGACCAUUACAUAACUGAAGACUCCCACCUUCAGGCAGGAUUGCAUAGUACAUGUUUGUAACUACUUCACAUUGUCUUUUGUUGAGGUAAUUUCAGUUUUUAUUAUUAUUAUUAUACUUUAAG